UACGUAGGGGGGCUAGCGUUGUCCGGAUUUAUUGGGCGUAAAGAGCGUGUAGGCGGCCUGGUAGGUCUGCUGUGAAAAACUCGAGGCUCAACCUCGAGAUGUCGGCGGAAACCAUCUGGCUAGAGUCCGGAAGAGGAGAGUGGAAUUCCUGGUGUAGCGGUGAAAUGCGCAGAUAUCAGGAAGAACACCUAUGGCGAAGGCAGCUCUCUGGGACGGUACUGACGCUGAGACGCGAAAGCGUGGGGAGCGAACAGG
rnacentral:rRNA from 1 species